rnacentral:rRNA from 1 species
UUGGAGGGCAAGUCUGGUGCCAGCAGCCGCGGUAAUUCCCGCUCCAAUAGCGUAUAUUAAAGUUGUUGCAGUUAACAAGCUCGUAGUUGAAUUUCGGGGUUCUACCGUUGGUCGGGCAAUUGUCUGUACUGGCGUGUAAAAUUUCUACCUUCUGGGGAACCAUCAUGUUAUUAAUUUAGCGUGGUGGGAAACCAGGACCUUUACCUUGAAAAAAUUAGAGUGUUUAAAGCAGGCUUACGUCUGAAUACAUUAGCAUGGAAUAAUAAAAUAGGACGGUGGUCCUGUUUUGUUGGUUUCUGAAUCACCGUAAUGAUUAAUAGGGAUAGUUGGGGGCGUUAGUAUUCAAUUGUCAGAGGUGAAAUUCUUGGAUUUAUUGAAGACUAACUUCUGCGAAAGCAUUUGCCAAGGAUGUUUUCAUUAAUCAAGAACGAAAGGUAGGGGAUCGAGGACGAUCAGAUACCGUCGUAGUCUUAACCAUAAACUAUGCCGACUAGGGAUCGGACGAUGUUAAUUUUUCUUGACUCGUUCGGCGCCUUACGGGAAAC